CAGGAAGCUCUAGUGAUUUUUCUUCCAUAUAUUACGAAUACCCCACCACAGGGUCAUAAUCCAAUUAAAAUGAAUCAACAACUAGACCUAUACUCGUCUGACUUACCCACGAGAAGAGGCAACAUGGACCUCUUUACUCUUACAUGCUAAGAUGAUCAGGGAGUCUACUUGGGGGGUAGAAAUGACCAACUUCUCCUUUGAAAGAAAGAGGAAAGUAAUCUGCCAAUUCAUGGCACGGUGAUUCUUUUGUCCAGAACCAAAGUGGCCUCCAACCUUUCCAAAAGAAGUGGGGGACCCCUUGCUCCAGGGGCUGGGAAAGAGCUGCCUGCUCACGGACCAAAUACAGCCUGCCAUCUGUUUUUGUAAAGAGAUCUGCGCCGGAACACAGCCACGCCCUUACGUCUGCGGACUGCCGACGGCUCCUUUCUCACCACCAAGGCAGAGCUCAGCAGCUGGGAUAGACAGUACACAGUCCAAGAAGCCUCAAAUAUUUACCUUUACAGAAAAACUUUUCUGACCACUGGUGUACACCAAUAUCAAAGAAGCUUCUUAUAUAUAAGAAAAAUGGGGAAUCCUUGGAGGGGAGAAACCACAAGAUCUUUAAGCCAAGAAAAUGGAUAUUCUUACCACUAAAGCUGAGAGAUUACAUGACUGUCAACCAUAGUGAGCAUAACCCAAAAAAGGGCCCAGGAAGCCAAUGGUCUACUUUACCCGAAGUAAAAAGAACCUGCUAAGUCCACCAGAUUGAGUAGGGAAGUCCGUAUAUUCACAGUCUCAUUGCUUUUCUCCAUUGACUCUAUUGUAAUUGUAAAAACUGCAUGAGACCGAGAAGAUUCUCUAUUCAUUGACGUUGAUGCCACACGUCUGUUUCUCCAUCCUCCAGACAGCACCUACGCAAAGGGAAAAUUUCCACAACUUUCAAGUGACACAACAGCCAUUUUCAUACUGACAGAUUAUACAGACAAAAAAAUUAGUAAAAAUGUAAAACCCUGUAUCCAAGGAUAUACAUUCUUCUCAUGUGCAAGUUUACAAAACUGGCCCACUGUAUUAAUUCAUAAAUCAUUUCUCAAUAAAUUUCAAAGCAUCUCACAAGACCAUAUUCUCUGAUACCAUGGCAAUUAA